rnacentral:lncRNA from 1 species
AUGCCGCAUGGCCCGGGCCCGGGGCGGAGCGGUGGGACCAGGGCUCCGGGAGUCAGCUCCAGGGCAGGAAGUGGCCCGCUCCUCCUUUCAGAGAGUGUUUCCGGAGCGCCUACUGUGUGCUCCUCCAUGGGGGUGGGGGUACUACCGGGCACAAAGGGUGCCAGUCCCGGUACCUUUGAACCUCUGGUGGGCAGUCACAAGCCCACAGGACUCUCCAGAUUCCACCAGUGACAGCCUGCUAAGCCAAUGUCCCCAUGUCUGCUCAGAUGAGUGACGCGUUCCUCCCCAUGGCCAGCAGCAGAGUGGACUGAAUGCUGGGUCAUAGGCUGGCACCAAACUCCCUAGCUCAAGGAUAUUCUUGCUUCAGAUUCCCAAAUAGCACUGCACACAUGAAUACCCAUGCCUGAUGG